UCUUUUAAUUUUCAUGUUUUGACAUUCUUAUCAUCUCUUUUUAUCUCAGCUACAAGUCUAUGUAUUAUUUUUUUCCCAAAAGAAUAUGAGGAGCAUUGGCAUGGAGUCAUAUGUGCAUCCAGUUGUACUCAAGUCACAUUCUGAAUGAAUAGUGUAAGUGGUACCAGUUGUCAAUGUCCCUGGUUUUGUCUAUGCUAUAGACAAACCCAGUGGAUUAAAAAACUGUUUUGAGCCACUCACUCAUAAAACUUCAGAAUGUGACUUGUACAUAGCCUUGGUUGUGAUAGAAUCCAAGAAACAACAGUUCUUGGUGUGCACUUGCUUGCCGCACAAACACAUUGAAGAGGAAGAAUAUAAGGAGCAUUGGCAUGGAGUCAUGUGUAUCCAUUUGUACUCAAGUCACAUUCUGAAUGAGUAGUGUAAGUGGUACCAGUUGCCAAUGUCCCUGGUUUUGUCUAUGCUAUAGACAAACCCAGUGGAUUAAAAAACUGUUUUGAGCCACUCACUCAUAAAACUUCAGAAUGUGACUUGUACAUAGCCUUGGUUGUGAUAGAAUCCAAGAAACAACAGUUCUUGGUUUGCACUUGCUUGCAGCACAAACACAUUGAAGAAGAAGAAUAUAAGGAGCAUUAGCAUGGAGUCAAGUGUGAAUUCAGCUUUAUACAAGUCACAUUCUGAAUGAGUAGUGUAAGUGGUACCAGUUGCCAAUGUCCCUGGUUUUGUCUAUGCUAUAGACAAACCCAGUGGAUUAAAAAACUGUUUUGAACCACUCACUCCUAAAACUUCAGAAUGUGACUUGCACAUAGCCUUGGUUGUGAUAGAAUCCAAGAAAUAACAGUGCUUGGUGUGCACUUGCUUGCUGCACAAACACAUUGAAGAAGAAUAUAAGGAGCAUUGGCAUGGAGUCAUGUGUGCAUCCAGUUGUACUCAAGUCACAUUCUGAAUGAGUAGUGUAAGUGGUACCAGUUGCCAAUGUCCCUGGUUUUGUCUAUGCUAUAGAC